rnacentral:lncRNA from 1 species
CAUCAUCACGCUCUCGUGAGACUGGACCAUCUUAGAAAUCCUGUGCUGAAACCGUAGUCAGCUAGAGGUAUCUGUCAGGAUGAGGGAAAUGCAAAUAGUGGCCCAAAUGAACACUGCUUCAUCACCAGCGGUCAUUAUCUCACUGCAACUCACUGCAUGAUCUGCUCAGAAUCAGAAGAGCCUGAUCUCUGCAAAGCCUAAGCCAAGACCUAGUGACCAUAGUGAAAUCAUUGCCUGUGGCAGAUUCUACAUAAAGGUACUUGAUUUCCAUCCUGAGGUGAGAGUAAAGAAAACAGCAGUGAAAAAUACAAUUAAUUCUCUGUGGUUGUAACAGAGUCACUUGUUAUAUCCCUCUUUCCUUCUUCUAGGUAU